AACGCACCUUGCGCCUCUUGGUAUUCCGAGAGGCAUGCCUGUUUGAGUGUCUUAUAAAAUCAAUCCCCAUGGGUUUCAUUACCCGGUGGUGGGCUUGGACUUGGGUGUUUGCCGUUCCGGCUCGCCUCAAAGAUGUCAGUGGGACAAGCUGCCUACGGCCCGACGUGAUAAGUUUCGUCAGACCUGGCUCCUUAUGCCCGCUCAUAACCUGCCCUCGGGCAACACUUUAUGCUAGACCUCAAAUCAGGUAGGACUACCCGCUGAACUUAA
rnacentral:misc_RNA from 1 species